rnacentral:lncRNA from 1 species
UGAAAUUUCAUGGGCACCAUGCAGUGAAAUGAAGUAUGAAGUGAAAGAAAAGAAAAUAAAGGAAAAAACUCUAAUAAAAUAUCUCCCAUUCCGAUGUAAUCCUUAACGGUAUGAAUACAAGUAAAUUUGUGUGUUUCUGGGCGGUAGUUAAAAAUUCUCAUAAAUUGUGAUUAUUGCAGACCAUCAUUAAAGUACCAUAAAAUCUCAUUCAUAACAAAUGAAAGCCUCUUUCAAAGCCGCUUCUUAAC